rnacentral:lncRNA from 1 species
ACUGUUCUUGAUCAAGGAAAACUAGAUGGAGAAUCUAAUGACCUUAAAUUACUUCCAGAAGCAAGAACUUCUAGACAAGAAUUUAAAAGUUUAAGGCCUCAAGCGGGAACUUUGGUUGUCUGUCCAGCAAGUGUGCUUCGUCAAUGGGCCAGGGAGCUGGAUGAGAAAGUUGCAGCAGAAGUUUCACUUAAAGUUUUAAUUUAUCAUGGAAGCAAUAGAAUUAAGGAUCCUGAUGAACUUGCAGCGUAUGAUGUGGUUCUCACAACAUAUGCACUUGUGGCGAAUGAAGUUCCAAAACAGCCUGUGGUUAAUGAGGACGACGAUGAUCCUAAAAAUGGUAAACGAAAUGGGUUAUUUGAUGAGAUCUCUACAAAUAAGAAAAAGAAUAAGAUGACAAAUUCGAGGAAGAGAAAGUGGAAAGGUAAAAGAAGAAAUGGCAUGUCUGAUGUUGACUUGGAUUCUGGUGCUCUUGCAAGAGUGCGGUGGUUGAGAGUCAUAUUAGAUGAAGCACAAACAAUAAAGAACCACAGAACACAGGUGGCAAGAGCCUGCUGUAGUCUUAAAGCGAAAGUAAGAUGGUGUUUAUCUGGAACGCCUAUUCAGAAUUCAAUUGACGAGUUGUUUAGCUACUUCAGAUUUUUGAGAUAUGAGCCAUAUAAUGUUUAUAAAUCAUUUUGUGGUAUGCUAAAGCACCCAAUUUCAUUAAAUUCAAUUCAAGGUUAUAAGAAGCUGUAUGCUGUGCUGAGGACUGUGAUGCUUCGACGGACUAAAGGUUAUUUCCUUAUUCUGUCGUGCUUUUUCCUUCUGACUGUCUUUCACAUAGAUAGAAUCCUAAUGGAGCAGGAUAACAUACUUUAUCACAGUAAUGUGUUUCUUUCUGUAUAAUUUAUACGGUUACAUGGUCAGUUGUGUGUUAAUAUUUCUGUGUCUACGAGUGUGAAUCCAUGGUCAGGAUUCUUUAUGUACUACCAUCCUUUCUACUCUAAUAAUUCCUUGAUUCUGACUGGGGACUGAAAGCUGGUAGGGCAAAGGAAGAAACAGAAACUGUAAAUUGAGUAUGAUGAUUGAUGAGAGAUAUGUACAGUCAACAUUGUUUCCAAUAUCACAUUCUUUAUAUGUACAAGUCAAAAACAAUCAGAAUUGAAGUAGGAUCGGAUAAUGUAUUAGGUCAUACAUUGAUAGUUCUCGAUGUCAAAUAUAAGGUCAUACAUAUCAAACCUAUUACUAAACACUACUAAUUUUUUUAAGGGGUGCUUGGACAUGUAAAAUUUUAAUUUACUACUUCUUUUUUUUGGGUUAGGGGGGUGCUUAAGCCCCCCAGCUCCCUUUCUGGAUCCACCCCUGAUUCGAAGUGAAAAAAAAUUAGUUUCUUUGAAGUUCAGUUAGUAGACAUGAAAUUGAUGUGUUCAAUAGUUAUAUGUAGCUUAGCUGUUUAGAUUACACAUAGCAUAGACCUAAUUGUCUUGAGCCUAGUCCGUAGGGGUUUUAGUUUCUCCCUUUGUGUAUGUAUUGACAUUUUUUUUUGCCCUUUGGUUGUACAUAAAUACUGUUGUCUGUUAGUUUUGAUUGCAAACAAAUUUGGGGAUCACUUGGGGUAGAGAUUGUUUUAUGGUUCAGUUUCCCAGGGUUUAGUAUAUCAAGUCUUGUUUCUUCUGCUUCUUGCUAUUUAUACCUGCGAUGAUAUGACUGUAGUAGUUGACAAUUAUAACUCAGCAUUAAACUUACAUAAAUUGUUGUCUUUAUUCAAUAGGCAUGCCUGCUAUACCUCAUCAUUUCUUUCAUAUAUUUGUAGCAAUAUCUGUGAUUAUAUUGAUAUUUAUCCUUUUGUGAUCCAGGCACAGUUAUUGAUGGAGAGCCUAUCAUUACAUUACCAUCAAAAACAAUUAAUUUAAAAAAAGUAGAAUUCUCUGUCGAGGAGCGGGCAUUCUAUCAGAGACUUGAAGCUGAAUCUCGGUCGCAGUUCAAAGUAUGGUUGAUUAGAAAACAUCCUUUCAGUUCUGUCUUUGUUUGGUCUGUUUUUUAUUUUUUUGGUUAGGAGAAGCUGACACAUUUACAUUAUGCUGUCAUAAUUAAGUUUGUAAGAACCAUAGAAUUCUUGUGAAUUUUACAUAUACAACAUACCCUGUUCCCAUGCUUAAAAACAUAUAUGCACAUAGUCUCAAGUAUAUUAUUGUCUUGGGUAAUAACAUCCUUAAUUAAUAUGUCCGAGACUUGGGAAUAGUUCAAAAUACAUGAAACUAUCUCAAAGUAAAUCAUCGAUUGGAUCUAAUACAUGAAACUAUCUUAAAGUAAAUCAUUGAUUGGAUCUAAUACUUCUCAGUUCUGAUUGCUUUGUGGUCAUUGUUUCACAUUUUCUGAAGCUAUAAAAUCUCUCUUUCCUUCAUGAAAUAGGGAAAGGUUAUAUGGCAAGCCAAGCCAAACUUGGCUAUAGCUUGUAUACUCAUCAUUUGGAAACUAUUUUCUGACAAUCCAACCCUGUACAUGCAAUAUACAUGUAUGAAUGAAGCUGUAUAUCGAUUAUCAAGUCUCAUGUAAAUUUCAUGUCUGUAGGGCCACUGUUUCAUGAUUUGAAUCUGCAGUAUAAAUUUUUAUGCCAGAUCUAUAUUUCUUUUUUGAUGCGAUUAUAAGAAGUAUCAUGUGCAAAACAUCACGAAACUUGAUUUACACCUUCAUUCACGUACGCCAAUCACAUCUAUAGUCUUGAAUUCCCACAAAAUAGUUUCUGAAAUCCGGUCUCCAGUGCUUUAGGAAAGCUCGGCAGAUUGUUACCUUUGUAUAAAUUUAAAAUGUACUGAUGAAAUAUUUAUCAUUUCUAAGAUAAUUUAUUUCGAUUAUGCAGGCAUAUGCUGCUGCUGGAACUUUGGGUCAAAAUUAUGCAAGUAUACUAUUGAUGCUCCUGCGCCUUCGGCAAGCUUGUGACCAUCCACUGCUUGUUAAAGGUUCGACUUCAGAUUCUGUUGAAAGGUUUUCCUCAGAAAUGGCAGCAAGUAUUCCUAAGGAUAUGCUAAUAAACUUAUUGAAGCGUCUGCAGUCAACCUCAGCCAUUUGUGGUGUGUGCAAGGUAGGAUUUUUAAAACAUUUAUAUUUUCAUCUGUAAUCUGGUGUGCGUUUCCUGUAUGAUGCAUGUCUUCCCGUAUUCCUUUUGAAACCUUAAUCUGAAUUAUGAUGUAGACUAUAUAGUACUGUGGUCAAGUGUGGUAUUUGUACUUUGGACGAUGGAUGAAGUUUUUAUGUUUUGCCAUUUGGUCUAUGCUUGAAUCACAUAUUAAUAUGUCGAGUAUCUCCGAGAAUGAUGACAAAGAGUCAAAGAUGCAUCUGUUUUUUUAAAAUGAUUUUGGCUAGGAAUAAAUAUUUUGUCCAAACCUUGCUGUCAUGCACUAAUUUUUGGAAGUACGUGUACCAUCUGGCAGGAUCAUAUUAUACAGUACUCAGCUGCAUGUAUUUUCAUUUCUGGAUCCAACUAGUUAGGCGUCCUUUGUUGAUAUAACAUCUUUAUAGGGUUUACAUUACUCCAGCUAUGUUCACCUUUCCACAACACUUUAGAAAAUCUGAUCUCCUGAUUCCUAUGUUUUUGCUUUAUCUAGGGUUGGCCAUUUUAUUCGUACCAUGGGAUCUACACCAUCUCAUGCCUAACAUCUCGACUUCAUCCCAAACUAUUCUCCUUUAAUACUUAUUUUAUUAUUUAUAAUUUUUAAUUGCCUCAUCCUAAUUUCUAUUAUUUACCUUAUCUACAAAAUUUCCUUUUCUCUAGCUACAUAUCUGUCAUAGCAAUUAUAUUUACUUCCCAUCAUGCUGACAAUGUUAAAUCAUUGUUGGCUUCACACAAGUUUUUUAGUUUUCCAUUUUGAUUUAGAGGGCAUUUUCUUUUUAACACAAUACUUUUAGGCCUUGAGGCCAUCUACUUUUGAAAGAGUUUUACAUUAAUUCAGUUCCUUGCUCUUGGGCCUGUGCUUCUGUAUCCGUUGAACUGUAAAACCAAUUUUGGUUAAGAGCACAGUCUAUUUUUUAAUUUUGAACUGGCGCAGUCAGAAAGUCUGUAUUGUUUCUGCAAUGGCAUCUUAGCUGCUACUUUCUUUAGUUUUCAUUGUGGUCUCUUGAUGGAAAGCCAUGUGCUUCUUCAUUGUAAAGAAUUUGGAUCACAGAAUACACGGAUAUGAUUUGUGUUCAUUCUGUGGCUGAAGAAGGUGUAGUAUCUUUUAUAGGCUGGAUAGGUAACUUGUUUUAAUUUUGUACCAAGAAUUCGUUAACGUGGUUGCAAAUGCUAUAAUCAGUUUUACUAUUUGCCUGCCCCUAGAUCUUUUUAUUUGACUACAUAUUCUGUAUGAUUUACAGGAUCCACCUGAAGAUGCAUUUGUCACCAUGUGCGGGCAUGUUUUCUGCUAUCAGUGUGUAUCAGAAAAUUUGACGGGAGAGGAUAAUAUAUGUCCUUCACCAAGAUGCAAAGAAGAACUUGGUCCUGACUUGGUAUUUUCCAAAGCUACCUUACGAAGUUGUAUAUCUGCUGACCAAGAUGAUAAUCCCUCUAGUUCCUCCUUGCACGAAAAAUCCAGAGUUGUGCAGAGAGACUACAUUUCUACUAAAAUAAAAACUGCUAUGGAGAUUCUUAUGUCUCAUUGUAAAUCAUAUGGGGGUAUUUCUUCAAGAAGGGAGGAACUAUCAGAAACAGGUGGUGUGUGUUCAGAUGCACAAAUUGAAGCGCCAAGAAAGGCCAUUGUCUUUUCUCAGUGGAUUGGCAUGUUGGAUUUAGUUGAAAUGGCAUUACUUCGGACUGAUCUACAGUAUAGGAAACUUGACGGUACAAUGACAUUAACUGCCAGAGACAAGGCUGUUAGAGAAUUCAAUACUGACCCUGAGGUAGCUUUCUUAUCAUGAGAUUUUAUUUUAUUUUCUUAAUUUUCCCAAAAACAUACAUUUCUUAUGUUCAUUAUCCUAAAACCAAUUUAGGCGAUGUCUUGUUUUUUUGGUAACCGUUAAUCACAAAUUUAUUUUCCACAUGCACCCUGCCCCCACUGGGGUUACACCCCUGAGCUCUUGUACCUAGAUGAGGGGGUAUCCCCUAGUCUAAGUCUUUGCGGAUAAUUAUUUGAGAUGUCUAAAACUCAGGUUACAAGAUUGACACAUCUGCCGUAUCUUUGUGAAACGGUUACCAAUUUACCAUGGUUAGAUGAAUAUGUGUAGAAGAUAUCAUAGACAAGAUAUAAGGUGAAACUACCUUUUAAAGUACAUUUAGUUUUAUAGGACUCUAAAAAUUAUAUAGUAUUUAUCUUAUUCAUCAAUUUUGGAUAUGAAAUCACAUGACAUAUGAUUUAUUCAGGGAUGCUGCACCAUUUUCUUAAACUAUUAAUCUUUGCCUAUGACUUCUAUGCUUAAACCUAAAAUUUCUAGGCCAGUUGAAAUCACAUCCUAUUUAACUUGCUUUAAUAGAGAAUUAUCAUAAUCUGUUAUUGGUUCCAUAUAUUAUAAAUAUGCUUGUUUCAGGUGACAGUUAUGCUCAUGUCCUUAAAAGCUGGUAACCUUGGUCUAAACAUGGUUGCUGCCUCUCAUGUAAUUCUUUUGGAUCUUUGGUGGAAUCCAACUACUGAAGACCAAGCUAUUGACAGGGCUCAUAGAAUUGGGCAAACUCGUCCUGUUACUGUAUCACGGAUCACUAUUAGCAAUACAGUUGAAGAUCGGAUAUUAGGUCUUCAGGUAUGUUGCAAUUUCUUAUUUUGACUUUUGAAGUAUGAGGUUUGUCUUGCUACGACUAUCAACUCUUUUGAGUGAUCGGGGUGUUUUUUUGACAGGAUUUAGGAUGAUCGAUUAGAUCCAAUCUAUAAUGCCUCUAUUUUUUACUUCAUAAUUAUUUUUCACAUUAUUAUCAAUACAGCUAAAUGAGACCUCAAAUUGAAUUUUCCAUAUUGUAAAGAUUUUACACUUGAUGCGUAGCAAUAAUUUGUAAAUUCUUUGGAAGAGUAUAUUUCCAAAGAAUCAAAAAGGCAUUCAUUUUCUUUCCUACGCUGAAACAAAUUAUGGGUCCUGUUUAUAUGGAGCGAGGACCAUUGAGUUAGGUUGUCUAGGAAAACUCAUUGUUUCCACAUGAUUAUACUUUUGCAGGAAGAGAAAAGGAAAAUGGUUGCAUCUGCAUUUGGUGAGGAUCCGAGUGGGGGCACAGGAAGCCGCUUAACUGUGGAAGACUUGAGAUAUCUGUUUAUGGGGAAUUAGUUACUUGUUUGAAAGUAGCUAACAUUUUGUGGUGUCCUUUGGGACAUGGUAUGUCUGAACUUCUAAUACUUCCAGGAAACUAGUUAUUAGCAAUUAGGCGUAGUUAUUACUAUUAGCUCUGGCAGAACUUAUGGCUGAGCUCUGCGUAAAUCCGCCACCAGUUUUUGGGCCAGCAAAAAGCACGUUCUACUUGUCAUCAACUUUGUAGCUACCAUGGUGGAACUGAUGUAAAUAACAGUAAUAUCUUUUAUGAAGCAGCUAGUAAUGAACUAUUGCUAGAUCACCUUUUUACAGUAGCAACUACAUAUUGAAUAUCUUUUACAUUUAGAUUGUUAUCAUUCCUUUAUGGAAUUAGGCAGUUAGGAAUAAUAUUAAGUCAUCAAGUUUUCAAUUUUUUUAUAGAACUCAUUAGAACAAACUCAUCAGAAUUAAAAUAUUACAGUAUCAAUGAUUUCAAAGUUUUUUAGGGUUAUAUAUCAAACUGGAGACCCAUUGCGUUAAAAUAUCUCAUCUUAGCCACAUAUCUUAUCGGAGACUCGUUUAAGCUACUAUAAACAAAAUAUAUCAUUUUACCAACAUUACUAUUCAUACAUUUUUACUUAAUCAUUUAUAAAAAAUUAACCAUUUGUUUUUUUUACUACAAAACCACUUCGAGUACCUUCAUAAAUACAUCUAAUAUUUAUCAAAAUAAUUUGAAAAUUAAUAAAGCAACAUAGCUAUGUAUUUAAAAAAAAUAUUUAGUUAUAAAUAUAUAUNNNNNNNNNNNNNNNNNNNNNNNNNNNNNNNNNNNNNNNNNNNNNNNNNNNNNNNNNNNNNNNNNNNNNNNNNNNNNNNNNNNNNNNNNNNNNNNNNNNNNNNNNNNNNNNNNNNNNNNNNNNNNNNNNNNNNNNNNNNNNNNNNNNNNNNNNNNNNNNNNNNNNNNNNNNNNNNNNNNNNNNNNNNNNNNNNNNNNNNNNNNNNNNNNNNNNNNNNNNNNNNNNNNNNNNNNNNNNNNNNNNNNNNNNNNNNNNNNNNNNNNNNNNNNNNNNNNNNNNNNNNAUAUAUAUAUAUAUAUAUAUAUAUAUAUAUAUAUAUAUAUAUAUAUAUAUAUAUAUAUAUAUAUAUAUAUAUAUAUAUAUAUAUAUAUGGCAUUGCUCAAAACAGAACACCUUUAAAAGAAGAACAAAGAAGAACACUUUGGAAUCGAACAUAAAAUCUCAUCUAAAACUUGAAUUAAAUUCUAACUCUUUAAGCUAAUUAACCAUUUAUUAUGAAUAAUAAUAGUAUCUAGCAUGUUUAACAACAAUUAUGGAUUAAAAAUAACACGAUUCUAUGUGAUAUUAAUCAUGUAAAGAUUAUAUACAUGAUUCUAUUCUGGAUUCUGUUUUGGAUUCUGUUCUGAAUUCUAUAAUGUUUCAUAUUAAUAAUUUGGAUAGCUUUGGAUGUUAGAUUUCAUAUAUUAAGUUUAGUUAGUGCUUCACUAUGUAAUUAUAAUCAUAACAAAUCAUUUUUUAUGAAAGAAAAGGUGUUAUGAUAGUGUUCUGUGUUGUCCUUUUUUUAAAGUGUUCUGUGUGGAGUGCAACAUAUAUAUAUAUAUAUGUGUGUGUGUGUGUGUGUGUGUGAUAACCAUAACUAUGUUGCUUUAGAAAAUUUUAAAUUAUUUUGAUAAAUAUUAGAGACAAUUACGAAGGUACUUGAAGUGGUUUGACAAAUAGUUGAUUUUUGAUAAAUGAUUAAGUAAAGAGGUAUUAAUGAUGAUGUGGAUAAAAUGAUAUAUAUUUUGUUUGUAGUGGCUUUAUCGAGUCUUCGAUGAGAUGGGUGGCUAAAGUGAGAUAUUUGGACGAAAUGGGUGGCCAGGUUGAUAUAUAACCCAAGUUUUUUAAUAUAUGCUAUGUACUGUAUCCAAAAAUGCCGAAAUAAAAACACAAUAUAGGCAUAUUUUGUGGUAUUGCCUUGGAUAACUUAUAUUUUUAAAGUGGCUUGUAUUACUUUUUCAUAGAGUAAAAUAGCUGCAAUGCUGCUUCUUGCUUACUCUUGAAACAAACUUCUGGGAACUUGAGCUGUAUGACUAGAGUUGGGGGCCUGGGGCACAGCCACGCAUUUGGUUCUAGCGUGAUAAUGAAAUAAGCUUAUAUAAAAAUGUAUAGUUAAAACUACUGAUUAACUAAAAGUGAAUUAUUAUUAGUUUAAACGUGAAUUAUUAUAAGUGGAUUUUAAGUUAAUUAAUUUUUUAAAAUAGAUUUACUUACCAGUGAAGUGUUAUUUAAAUCUAAAAAUUUACAGCAUUUUUCUUGAAAAAACAAGUCAUUUAAUACAAGAACUCGUAAUAACACAUUCCUAGAUAAAUAUCAAACGCGAAGGUUACAUUUAUCAUUGUUGUUUAUCAAUUAUCAUAAAAUAUUUACCACUGCAGUAAUAAUUAUUUAAACAGUCGAAAAAGAAUAUAGUGACGGGAACUAAAAUCAAACAAACAGAUAUCAAUGAAAUAUACUCUCAAAACCAGGCGGACAAAGAAAAUAAGAGCAUGUUUGGCUAAAUUACGGACUUAGGUGGUUUAAUGUGACUUAGAGCAAGUUCAAUAGUGUUUUAAUGAGUGCCUUGUGAAAGUAGUUUAGAAUAUCAUUUUUGCACAUUCACUCCAAUAAAAAACCUUAUCCACAAGCUUUAUUAUUAAGAUAGUAAUAUAUUUAAAUAAUUAUUGGAGGGAAAUGAAAAGGAGGGAGGAGAGAGAUAAAAGGAAACUAUUUUUUUUUUUAUUAAUAAAGCUCUUGUUAGAUGUCCUAAUGUUUUAAGGCAUUACUAGGACACUGUUGAAAAAUAUUUUUAAUCAAGUGCCUUAUAUUAUGACUCAGGAUAUUAAAUAAGGCAGGCGCUGGACUUGCUCUUACGAAGCUGACUUAUAUACGGUAAGUUAGAAAUUUAAAAUAUCUGUUUGGAUAAUUUUGACUUAUUAAUGACUUACUAGCCUUUAACACGUGCGAAGCACGAACGAGUAUAUACUUCGCAAAUUACUUUUUAAAUUUUAACAUUAUUUAAUAUUUUGGUAUUAAUGAGUUGAAUUUUAAUUAAAUUAUAUUAACCAACUAAUUAUAAUUACCUUUUACAAUUUAUAAUCUAUUUAUAAAUAUUUUUCCGUUAUUAAUAUGUGAUAAUUUUUUAUUCAAUUAAUUUUAAAUCAGAUUUGUCAUAUUCUGUAUAUCUUAAUAGGUAUGGGAAAAAAAUUAUCGCGUAACAGAUUAAAGUUGGAAAGGGUUAUGUAAUUGUUAGUGUUUGUAUUGAAAUAGAACACGUGAGAGUCAAAAAAAGUUAUAUGAAGAUUUUUGUUAAAAAAGAUAUUCAAUUGAAUAUUUAUAAUUUUAUUUUAUAAAAUAUUGUAUGACAAUGUAUUGUCAUGAGCGUUUUUAGUAUUUGAAAUUAUUUAACAAUGUAAGAGUAAUAGAUCUCCACAUAUUGUAUAGAUUUGUAGUUUUAAAGAGAGAGUAACAAAACAAAAAAUAUAAUUAAAAAUUUGGAUUACAAAUUAUGUCACAUAGAAAAUUCUAGCUGAGGGUUUCUGGAGGGAGAUGAGGGUUGGAGUUCUCUGUGAUGUAGACUAUCAAAAUAAUAUGUGACUCACGCUGCAUUUAGCAUUAAUUAACAAAAGUAUUGCGUUUAGUCUCUUAUCUAUUACUCAUUCGGUCUCAUUUUAAAUGAUUUUUUGACACGUAUAUUGGAGCGUAAAAAAAAAAUCUAUACUUAAUAAAAAAAAUUUAAUUCUUUUAUCAAAUAAAAGUUUAGAUUCUAAACUUUUUUUUAUAUAAGUUUUAUAAAUAAUAAUUAUGCAUAAUAUUUUUAACAUUUUAAAAUACGUAUAAAAAAUUAAAAUUAAUUAAAAAUGGGACCAAGGGAAUAGUAACUAUUACGGGGUUUUGGUUUAAUCAUUAACUAGCUUAUAACCCGUGCAAUGCACGGGCAGUUAUAAUAUUUAUUGUUUUUGAAAGGAUAUCUUCGAUAAACAAUUAUUUAUUUAUUUGUUUUGGUAUUUGUGACAAACAUUAAAUUUAUGAAAGGAUAUCUUCGAUAAACAAUUAUUUAUUUAUUUGUUUUGGUAUUUGUGACAAACAUUAAAUUUAAAUUCAUUUAGUAAUCCUCCCAAUAGGUCAUUAAUAUAAUUGAUUAAUCAAAGGUGGAUAGUCAUGUUUAGCAAGUAUUUCUAAAAUACCUUUUUACCAAAAUACAUUUGUUUUUCAAAAAGAAUUUUUAUUACGCAAUAGUCAUGAGGAAUUUUUAUCAAUUGCCUCUCUCUUACUAUUGUAACAUCAAAAAUACAUGAUCAAGGAUGAAAUAUCAUCUACAUAUGAUAUUCUUUAAAUAUCUCAUGUAACAUUAUUUUCAAAAUAUAUUUAAGGUAAUUUAUUCCAUAUUCAAACAAUUUUUUAUCUUUCAGAAUAAAUUAUUUUAAAUCUUUCAAAAAUUAUAGAUCCUUCAUUUUUCUAAGGUUUUAUUUUUCUCUAGAAGCAUUUAUAUUCUCCAUAUUAAUAUUUAUCUCAAAAAUAUUAAUAUCAGAUUUUAUCUUAUUUUGGGAUAUUAUUCUCGGUCUCUCAAAUUCAUUAUUUUUCAAAGAAAAAUAUUUCCGAUACUUAGAAAGCUCUUUCAACUUAUCAAAAUCAUGAUUUAUCAUGAACAAUAUUUUUAUAAGUAUUUUGGGAUAAAAACAUUCGUCAAAGAGUCUACGUGAUUUGACUAAAAGACGAACUAUAUCAGUUUUUCAAAUAUCGGUAUUCGUUAAUAAAAUCAAUUUAAAUACUCAAAAAAAAUUUCCCAUCCUCAAAAGUAUUUUAUAUUUAAGGGAGUAUAUUUUAAGUAUUUAAUCAAAUCUUAACUUUGGUCAAAAACUCUCGUCUAAAUCUCAAAAGAAUUUUCGCUCGUUAUUUGGACCCGAAAAACGUUUUAAUCAUUUUAAUUGCAAAUAAAAUACUUCCACUUGUCCAAAUGACUUGAAACUUGAGAUUAGCCAGUUAUAUAUUUUUCUUAGUGCAUGGUUAAAGUUUCGUAAUUUUUCGAGGACUUUCGUUCGGGAGCGUUUUUCUGUCUGUCGUCCCGAUCUUCCACCGAACGUUUGACCAAGCUAGAGUUGACCAAAAAUUACCAAACUUGGCAGAAUACCAUUUUCCAAUAUUCUAAGAAUUAUCAUAUUUUUUCCGGAAUUUAUUGAGCACGUUCGAAAUCUCGUAAUAUUUAGUGUAACGGAAUUUAAUCGGUUUCUCGAAAUGCGUGCCACCUUAUCCACAAGCAUGGAGCAUUGAGAUGUGUGCCAAUAAAUGCAGGUCAACUAGUGUACUUAAUGCAUUGGCAAGCAUGGGGGACAAGAAUGACAAGCAUGGGCAAGUGGGGCCAAUAUGUUUUUAGUUUGAAUUUAAUCAUUUUAAAUUCAAAUGCUUCCACCAAUUUUGCCUAUAAAUACAAGACUUCCCCCAUUCAUUUCUCAUAAGCUAACAAGCAAGAAAGUGAUGAGAUUUUGCAAGUAGAAGCUCUCUCCAAAUUUAUACAAACACAUUUUUCAUCUACUUCAUCUUUAAAACCUCCGUCCCGCUCGGUAUAUUCGUAUAUUCUCGAGGUUUUAAACACCGAGGCUUUGCUUCACCCAACCAAGCCCCGUACCACUUUGCUUGCACCAAAACCACUCUUUCCGACCUCCCGAAGGGCUGUCCGAAGUUCGUCCAUAAGCCAAAUUCCUACCGAACCUCCGGCGAAUUUUUCCGGCGAACUUUUUACGAAAAUCGUGUAAGUGGUUUCUUUAGCUUCGUCUUAUCCGAGUCUUAACCGACCGAAAUUAAAAGAGCUAUCAAGCCAAAUUUCUCUUCAUCUCAAAGCUCUCUUUUUCUUUAACAAUACAAAGCACAAGAGUUGGCCGCUCGUAUUAUCUAUAAUAUACCUACGUGUGCGUGUGUGUUAUACCCUAUCUUGUUGACGUGAAGAUUCUCAUACGUGCUGAGCUUUCGUGAGAAUAUUUGCUUAAACGAGUUUGGUGGUGGUCCUCACCUUAGUGAGUUGAUUUAUACGUAUAUUUAUAUAUAUCACCAACACUUUGUUCACACACCACAAAAUACCCGUAGCUUGUCCCACGCGAGAUUCGCUCGGUAUUUCUAAAAUCAACUAUAUACACAUAUUAUAGCGCGGAUAUUGUCGCGGAUUAUUGUGGCCCAAAACUCUAUAUCAUAGUGCAAUUGUUAAAGAUAGUCAAGAACUCACUCUCUCGUGCAAAACGAUAUUUAUAUUUAAAGAGGGGUUAUCUUGAAACGAAGUUGUAAAAUAAAACACUUCGUAAUAUUCACUUCGAAGGUUAUCAUACCCGAAGUAUUUCAUAUACUUAGUCAAAGACAAGUAUAUUCGUCCAUAUAGCCAAAAGAGCUUAAAAGGACUUAUUUUAUCUACAAACUCCAAGACACUCAAAUAUCAUUUAUUUGGAGGAUUUUGUACGAUAAACGUAUUCUUCGAUUAUAAAUACAAAUCUAUCGAAAAAGAAUACUUGCAAGGUCUUAAGCUUUAUAAAAGCUUAAAGGACACUUGAUCUUUAAUAUUCUAAGACCAAGAAUAUUAUUGAAACACUCGGACUAGUGAAUCUUGUCCAAAACUCUUUUUAUAACCAAGGUUGUCUUUCGUAGAUAUUGUUUUCUAGAUUUUGCAGUGAGGUGAAGUGAAGUGAGGUGAUCUUCGUUCUAAGACCCAAGUCCUAGACGAGCUAACGGGGAGUUAGUCGUCUUCGCACCGUGAGGAAGAGGAAAGACCCAAGACCUAAGACCUAAGAUCCAAGACCCGCUUAAGGCUAGAAGAACAAAGACUACACAUUGAGAGAUACAACGAUUUUGAGGAGGUGACGGGGAGUUACGCUCCAAGACAAGUCUUGUAAUUUACAUUUAUAGUGAGGAGGUAACGGGAAGUUACGCUCCAAGAUAUAUAUUUGUAAAGGCUUCUCCGCCUACUGUAAAGGAGUUUCUUUAUAGUAGAGAAAAUCUCGAGUCCGGGGAGGAGCUCGGGGACUGGAGUAGGGGUGAGUGGACUCCAAGGGUUGAGUUAGCCACCGCGAACCAGGAUAAAAUCGCUCGUGUGGUAUUUGUCUUUCUUUUCAUUUACUUCCGCACAUCAUAACUGCUAAAACUCUCGAUACAAGCUUUUAAAAAGGGGAUAAACUUUUUAAAACUACACUAUUAUUUUUAAAUUGGCUAUUAAGCUAUUCAACCCCCCCUUCUAGCUUAAUUAUCCCCUAUAUCGGGACCUAACAGUUUUAUUGUAUAUAUUGUAAGUUUAACUAAUUUUAUUGUGAAAAUAUUAUAUUGAUAGAAUAACGUGGUUAAACAAAUUUUUUAUUUAACGGCCGAAUAAAUUCUUGGCUAAUUAGAAAUUAGGUCAUACAUAUAUAUUUUAAUGAUAAUGCUAAAAUAUACUUUUUACAUGUUAUAAUUUAAAAUAAAUCCAAAUAUAAAACAACUAAUCAACCUUUUAAUAUUUCGUUAUUAAUGAUUAAUAAUAUGGUAUAGAAUAUAUUAUAAGUUAAAUAAAUGCGUAAACCCAAGUUCCGACCCAUCAUAGUGUUUUACUUUAAUAGAUAAUAAAAAAUGUAUCAUAAUAUAUUAUAAAAUAAGGAGUUUCGUGGAUCGAAUACUAACCGACUCACCAAAUUCGAUUGACCGACUAAUCGACCGACUGAACUUUUCAUGUCUCAGCUUUAUUCCUUAACAAUAUAACAAUAUAUAGUAUAGUAUAGAUUUAUAAUAUUACGUUUAAAGUGAGAUCAUUAGAGUAUUUAAAAAUAAUGAUAAUGUAUUUUGGUUGAAAAAUAUCAUCGUUUAUUUUUUAAUAAUUAUAUAAAGUAAUAUUAUAUUUUUAUAUAUAUGUCGCCCGUGUUAAUUGUAGAAGAUUGGGUUUUUUAGUUAGAAAAUCUAAAAAGGAUAAUAUGUUUUAGUUAAAAAGGUAAUUAUCAUAUUUCUCAAUGUUAUUUUAAAAGAUGAAAAUUUUUUAGUUAGAAAAUAUAAAAAUGAUAAUAUAUUUUAGUUAAAAGAAAAAAUUAGUUAUAUAAAUAAUCCCAUAUUUCGACUCAUAGGCUCGUAUUUCGGUCAAGUAUCGAACGACCAAACUUUUAAUGUUUCGGCUUUAAUAUUACUAGCUUAUAACCCGUGCAAUGCACGGGAUCUUUUUAAUUAUUUUAUAAUUUUUUUAGUAUAUUUAAAAUGAUAAAAAAAUAAAUUAUUUACUAAUAAUAAACCAUAAUUUUAAAUUAAAUAAAAAAUAGGAAGUUAUAUUAUUUUUUAAGGCGGAACUAUUUUUGCAGUGCCAACCUCUUAUCUCUUCCUUUUGUUCACGUCUUAAUUUUUGACCUUUGUCAUCGUGCUUGUUUAGUAUCAUUGUUAUAUAUUUCGUAAUAUCAUAUAUUAUGAUCAGCUCUUUGUUAAUCUUUUGUGUAUUUUUGAAAUAUAUUUCAUGAAAUGGUAUACUCGUUUUUUAUCACUCUAAUAUAGAUAUUAACAAAAUUUUACAAAAUGAUUUUUACAAAGAUUAGAGGAGAAAUUAGUGAGUAUGAUGUAAAGUGAUUUAUGUUCAAGACCUUGGUCAGUUUUAAAUUUAAAAGAUUUCGAUUUUGUUCCGGAUGUUAAAGAUUCUGCUAUGUAUAAUAUUGUUGGUUAAUUUGUAUUUGUAUGUGAGAAUUUUGUACGUAAUAUCAACUUCUAUUACGAUAAUUUCAUGUUUUUCUCUUGUUUUUUUUGUCGAUAUGUAUUUCUGUAGCAGAUAUCUAUACAUGUGACGCCAACUUCUAUUAGAUUAUAUUUAUAAAUGUAUUUUAUAUUAGAAAUAUGAUAGCUAAUGUGAUUUAAUUAUUUUUUUAAAUAUUUUUAUGGUUCUAGAAUUAGAAUUGGUAAAUAUAGUUUGUUUUGAAUCAAGAAAAGAAAUCAUAAACAUGCAAGAAGAAUGUAGAAAUUGUUUUGGAUCAAGAAAAAGAUUUUGUGUUUGUUCCUCACAUAAAUUCGGCUUAUUAAUUUUAAUAUUGUGCAUAAUAUUAUUUUUGUUUAAUAUGAAAAUAAUUUUCUUGACUGUGUGAUUUAUAUGCUUCUACAAUUAAAACUGGUAGAAAUAUUUAUUUUGGAUUAAAAAAAUUCAUAAACAUGUGAAAAGUAGAAUUUGUUUUGGAUUAAAAAAAGAAUAUUUUGACUGGCAAAAAAAAAGAAUAUUUUGAAUUUAAAAAUUAUAAACAUGUAAAAAGUAGCGUUUGUUUUGGAUUAAGAAAAGGAAUUAUAAAUACCCAAAUAGAUAUUAGUUUCCCUAUAGGAUAGAAUUGAAUCUUAUUUUAAUCUAACGGUGAUUAUUUGUUCUGUAUACGAUCGAACAGAAAAAGACCAUACGAUCUCCCUUACGCUUAUUAUACAUAAGUAUAUAAUAGUACAGAUGAGACUAGAGAUGUUCAAAAAAUCCGAAAUCUGAAAUCCGAUCUGAUCCGAUCUGGAAAAAAAUCUGAAAAAUCCGAUCCGAAAAAAACCCGGUCUGGCCCGGCCCGGCCCGAGGGCCUAAAACAGGCCUAAUAUUUUCAAAAAAACCCGGAUAAAAUCCGGAUUUUUGAAAAAUCCGGGCUUUUUAUAACUAAACCGGGCCUAGUAUUUUUGGAAAAGCCCGGCCCGGCCCGGCCCGAUUUUUAAAAAAGCCCGGCCCGAUCUGGUUUGAAAAAAAUCCGGAUUUUUUUGGCCCGGUCUGGAUCUGGCCCGAACAGAUCUUUUGUGCAUCUCUAGAUGAGACAAGGACUCGAGGAGACAAAUUAUGAACCCACUCCAACUUUAAACACUCCUCCGCUUCUUUGCAUUCCCGUUAGGGCUCCUGUUCGUUUUCCCCUGCAAAUGCAAAACCCAUUCGCAGUAACUAAAAUUCACCUCUUUUCACUGUCAGUGCAUUACAAAACCACCAUUUACAGGUAAAAAAUUCAUGUAUGUUUAGUUUUACUCGUUUUUUAUGUUUAGUUUUACUCGUUUUUAUUUUGGCCUGCACAUUGUUUCUUGAUUUUCUUGAUUAUGGUUCAAUCAGUGUUGUUAAGUUGGAAAUUGAGUUUGUUUUGUUCGAAAAAUGUGAUUUUCUUAAGAUGGUCAGUCUUGAUUGUGCUUAAUGUUGUUUGAAUUUAAGUGGGUUGUCAUUAAGUUAUGUAAAAGUGAGUUAAUUUUGGGGUUUGGUUCUUGCAUGUUUGUGUAUGUAUUUGUGGAUAAUUGGAGUGAUUCGAGUUUUAGGGCUCGUGGGAAAUGGGGGUGGUUUGGAUUGAUGCUUGAUCUUAUGUUUGUUGUGCUAGUUUUUGAGUGGAUUUUUUGUUUAGCCUAAUGAUUUUUAUAAUGUAGCGGAAGAAUUGAUAAAUUAAGCAUCUGUGUGUGUAUUUACUAAUGGUUAUGUGUUGUAAUAUUUUUGGCUUGGAGGAAAUGGUGCUGGUUUGGUGGAUGUCUGAUUUUCUGUCUGAUUGUGCUAAUACACGAUUUUUUGAUGAUUCUUUUUAAGCUAUUUUGCGGAAUUAUAGACGUGUUGCAAAUGUCUUUAGGCUGGCUUUAGUUGUAAAGGAACAUAUUUCUUGUGGCUGAAUUGGAUUUUCUAGAAAUCAGUUCAUCAGAUAGUGACAGCGAUUGGGAUUUGGACGAGAUCAAGGCAGCAUAUGAUCAAAUUGAUUUUACUGAUUCAGUCAGUCCCGGGGAUAUUCUGUAAACAGUAGAUAAUGCUCGUCCUAAUCUGAUAGGUAGAAGGUUAUAUGUAGCAUACAUGAUCUGAGUAGGGAAAACUGUUGGUGUUUCUAACACAUAUCUUUAAUACCGAUUGUACAGUUUAUGGAGAAUCUUCCAGAGAACCUCCUACUGGAGCAUAUACUUCAAAUGGUACUUCAGCCAAACCAAGCCAAAGAUCGACUACGAAUCAGAGGGUUCUUCCACCACGGGCAAACACAUCCAGUACUGUGAUAACAGGUGAAGCUGGCCUAAAAUAUGACUUUAAAUGUAUUAGUGUUACACCGUUACUAUAAUGUAACACUUGUGUUUCAAUGUAGAUAAUAUGAAACGGUCGCGUAAGUUACAUUCCCAAGCAGCUGUUCAAGACAGAAGCUCAUUAGACCAUAGCCACCAAAAGAAGGCUGGAAAUCACAGGUCAUCAGAUACAACUAACAACUCAGUCCUCUCAAACUUAAAAACAACUCAGGAUACAAAUUCUACGAGUCCGGCUCGUAAAGGUAUGCGCUUCUAUCAAUUUAAAACCUGCACAAUUGCAGCUUUUACCUGAUAUUGAUUGUCCUAAAUUUCAUCUAUAUUUGAUACAGAUUAUGAUCAAUUUACAUCCCAACAAGGCUCUAAAAGGUCCCUUCCAAAUUCUAUUCCGCCGCAAGUACCUAACCCUAGAUCUUUUUAUUUAGCGGAGAAUGUGGGUAGCAGUCAGAUGCAUGAAACAUAUGGAAAUACUUUCUCUGCAGCACGAAAAUUGAUACACGGCAUGGAGCUUGUGAAUCGAACUGGACAGGGCAGUGUUGAUAAAUUUAUGUCCACUACCAGUGGGAGUAGGAUUUUGCCUCUGUCCAUGAUGCAUGGAAAAUCUACUUCAACGUCACAGCACGCCAAUUCAGUUGAUCCUGUUUUUCGGUCUAUGACUGGUGAAGAUAGAGCAGAAUAUGACGAGAGGCUAUUUUUUCAAGCUGCCUUGCAGGUCGUAUUCUCUAGUCAUUAUUAUUAUUUAUACAUAUCCCUUUGUCAUAAUUGCAGAUGACCUUAUUCUGAAUUGCUUCCUAGCUUGUUAUUUGCUAACUAUGUGGUAGACGUUGUAAUUGUACAUUUGAAAGUUUAAGUAUAUAGUAACUCACCCAGUAGCACCUUAAGUCUUCAUCCAAUAGAAUCCAGGUAAAGGUUAGAGUGGUUUAUUGUGACCAUUAACAGGUGCAGCAGUGCAUUAUAUUCUACUUAGGAUGUUGCAGAAAGUUCACAUUUAAGACGUGCUCAAUAUUUUGCAGGAUUUAAACCAACCUAAACUUGAAGAUACUCUACCUGAAGGUUAUAUGACAGUCUCCCUGCUUAGACACCAGGUUUUUUUGUGCUUUUCUUUAAUUUCUCCCAGUCACAUUCGUAUCCAUUACUCUACAUGGUCUUGUUCAAAUGCAGAAGUUUAUAUUGUUUACAGAAAAUUGCAUUGGCUUGGAUGCUUCAAAAGGAAACUAAAAGCCCUCACUGUGCUGGUGGAAUUCUUGCUGAUGAUCAGGUAUAAUCAUUAAUAAUAUAGAUCGAUUGUGUUUAGCAUCUAUCACUAUAGAAUUUGUGGAACGUUCUCUAACACCUUUAUUGUAAUGUUUCAGAUUUCAUUAAUUAAAAAUAUUGCCAGCUAGCAUUUACCAUAUAUUGUGAUCCAGUUGGUGGGGCAUUUCUCUAAUAUCUCUGUUCUGUUUCUUGCAGGGCCUCGGUAAAACCAUUUCAAUGACAGCUCUUAUACUGAAGCAGAAAUUUUUACAGUCGAAAACCAGACCAGAAGUUGCAAGCCAAAUGACCGCUGAAGCCUUAAAUUUGGAUGAUGACGAGGAUAAUGAAAUCACUGUUCUUGAUCAAGGCAAACUAGAUGGAGAAUCUAAUGACCUUGAAUUACUUCCAGAAGCAAGAACUUCUAGACAAGAAUUUAAAAGUUUGUGGCCUCAAGCAGGAACUUUGGUUGUCUGUCCAGCAAGUGUGCUUCGUCAGUGGGCCAGGGAGCUGGAUGAGAAAGUUGCAGCAGAAGUUUCACUUAAAGUUUUAAUUUAUCAUGGAAGCAAUAGAAUUAAGGAUCCUGAU